rnacentral:lncRNA from 1 species
GACUUGUAUGGUUUACCUUAGAUUUAGUCAAUACUCUAAUGGUAACGAAUACCCCGCUACAGCCACCUAUUUCAGAUAUUUAGAGGUAACAAGAAAACCAACAUCAAUUUGUUUCUGCACUUCCUCUUUGAUCUUUACUGCCAUAUUAGGAUGAGUUCUUCUCAUCUUCUACUUGACUGGCGGGCAUUCUGGCUUCAAAGGAAAUCUAUGCUCCACAACCUUAGAAUCUAAACCAGGCAUGUCUCGAUAGGACCAAGCA